CUGGAAUGACCACCUGGAGAUACCACGAGUGCUCCCCAGUCCCAUCCAGCUUUACCACCUUCCUUCCCAAAAAAAAUACCUAGGACGUGAAUUUGAAAUAGGUCUUGAUAAUCCUAGUUACUAGAUCUGGGUGUUUGCUAUGUACGUAAUCUAGCAGAUGGCUUUAGUGUUGUAACAGUGAUCAUGCAUUGCAUGCGUUGGUCUGCACUGUGCUGUUUCCCACCAGGUCUGUGCUGAGGUCUGUCACCACUAGCACGUGCACCUGGCUUCUUUGAACUCCAGCCUGUCACGUCUACCCCAGUUUCGUGGGGGUGUCUGGUUUUCCAUUCCCACCCGUGCAGACAACUCUAGGGAGCAAUCCUGUCAACAUUCAUUCUGUGUUUCAUCUUAACUCAUCCCUUCUUGUCUUCUUAUUAAUGAUUACUAAAUAAUAAUCA